CGAGCCGGCCGGGUGAUCGCGGCGCAAGCUGAGGAAAGUCCGGACUCCGCAGAGCAGGGUGGUGGGUAACACCCACCCGGGGCGACCCGCGGGAAAGUGCCACAGAGAACAGACCGCCUCCCAGGAGGCAAGGGUGAAACGGCGGUGUAAGAGACCACCGCGCCUCAGGUGACUGAGGUGGCAAGGUAAACCCCACCCGGAGCAAGGCCAAGCAGGACGCCGUCCGAGCGCUGCUCGCGCGAGGCGCCCGGGUAGGCUGCACGCUGGUGUCGCAAGGCACCAGGGAAGGCGGAUGGCAACACCCGUCGCAGAUGGAUGAUCACCGACUACAGAAUCCGGCUUACAGGCCGGCUCGCCAC
rnacentral:RNase_P_RNA from 1 species